UACGUAGGGGGCUAGCGUUAUCCGGAAUUACUGGGCGUAAAGGGUGCGUAGGCGGUCUUUCAAGCCAGAAGUGAAAGGCUACGGCUCAACCGUAGUAAGCUUUUGGAACUGUAAGACUUGAGUGCAGGAGAGGAGAGUGGAAUUCCUAGUGUAGCGGUGAAAUGCGUAGAUAUUAGGAGGAACACCAGUAGCGAAGGCGGCUCUCUGGACUGUAACUGACGCUGAGGCACGAAAGCGUGGGGAGCGAACAGGAUUAGAUACCCGGGUAGUCCCUGAG
rnacentral:rRNA from 1 species